rnacentral:rRNA from 1 species
GACAGAGGCCCCAAGCGUUUAGGCGGAAUCACUGGGCUUAAAGCGUGUGUAGGCGGACGCCUAAGUGUCUUGUGAAAUCCCACGGCUCACCCGUGGAACUGCUGGGCAUACUGGGCGUCUUGGGCCAACUAGGGGCAGCUGGAACAAGCGGUGGAGCGGUGAAAUGCGUAGAUAUCGCUUGGAACGCCGAAGGUGAAAACAGGCUGCUGGGGUUGUGCCGACGCUGAGACACGAAAGCCAGGGGAGCAAACGGG